rnacentral:rRNA from 1 species
CCUACGGGUGGCAGCAGUGGGGAAUAUUGCGCAAUGGGCGAAAGCCUGACGCAGCGACGCCGCGUGAGGGAUGAAGGUCUUCGGAUCGUAAACCUCUGUCAGCAGGGAAGAACGGUCACUGUGCUAAUCAGCAGUGAAUUGACGGUACCUGCAAAGGAAGCACCGGCUAACUCCGUGCCAGCAGCCGGGGUAAUACGGGGGGUGCGAGCGUUAAUAGGAAUUACUGGGCGUAAAGCGCUCGUAGGCGGUAUGUCAAGUCAAGGGUGAAAUCCCCGGGCUCAACGUGGGAACUGCCUUUAAAACUGGCAAACUGGAGUGUGUGAGAGGAUAGUGGAAUUCCAGGUGUAGGAGUGAAAGCCGUAGAUAUCUGGAGGAACAUCAGUGGCGAAGGCGACUAUCUGGCACAUAACUGACGCUGAGGAGCGAAAGCGUGGGUAGCAAACAGGAUUAGAUACCCUGGUAGUC